UCCAGACUCCUACGGGAGGCAGCAGUAGGGAAUUUUGCGCAAUGGGGGGAACCCUGAUGCAGCGACGCCGCGUGAGUGAAGAAGUAUUUCGGUAUGUAAAGCUCUAUCAGCAGGGAAGAAAAUGACGGUACCUGACUAAGAAGCCCCGGCUAACUACGUGCCAGCAGCCGCGGUAAUACGUAGGGGGCAAGCGUUAUCCGGAUUUACUGGGUGUAAAGGGAGCGUAGACGGCAAUGCAAGUCUGGAGUGAAAGCCCAAGGCCCAACCAUGGGACUGCUCUGGAAACUGUGUAGCUUGAGUGCAGGAGGGGUAAGCGGAAUUCCUAGUGUAGCGGUGAAAUGCGUAGAUAUUAGGAGGAACACCAGUGGCGAAGGCGGCCUGCUGGGCUUUUACUGACGCUGAGGCUCGAAAGUGUGGGGAGCAAACAGGAUUAGAUACCCGUGUA
rnacentral:rRNA from 1 species